AUGAGGCUUUGGCUCCAUUUAGUUUUGAUUGUGGCAGCUUUGGAAGGUGUCCGGUCCCAGGUGCAGCUGGUGGAGUCCGGAGGGGAUGUGAAAAAACCUGGAGACUCUCUCCGCCUCUCCUGCAAAGCCUCCGGCUUCACCUUCAGCGACUACGAGAUGGACUGGGUCCGACAGGCUCCAGGGAAGGGACUGGAAUGGGUGGCUCUGGUUAGCAAACCGACUGGAUCCAAGCAACAUUAUUCGCCGGCUGUUCAGGGGCGAUUCACCAUUUCCCGGGACAACUCUGUCAACACGGUGUAUCUGCAAAUGACCGGCCUGAAGCCCGAGGACACCGCCCGGUAUUACUGUGCGAGAGACACAGAGGAUUUCCACUUCUGA